rnacentral:sRNA from 1 species
CUUUCGAGCGUGCGAGCGAGCAAGCAAGCAGAAGCGCGUAAGCCGAAAAAGAGUUAUCUGUUUACCUUAUAAUUAAAUAUUGUUAUCAAUAAAAAAAUUGCAUAUUUCCCGAGCAGUAGCAAAGUAUUUUGCACGCGCAUACAUAUAUCGGAAUAAUAAAUCGGAAAUCGCGUGAAAUCUGCUUAGACAGCAACACAGAGCUUCUUUGUGCGCAGCGCUAACGAGUGCAUACAAACAAAUACAUACACACACACUGAGUACUCUGCAAACAUUGUUGCACAGCAACAGCAACGCCAACCGCAGAUAGCAGCAGAAAUUUCUGUAGUAAAACGGAAGUUGUUGUCGUAGUCAGCUUCGCGGAAGAAGCACGAAUAGAGGCUAGUGCUAACGUAAUUUUUCUCCAAAGCAACAAUUUGACGACAUUAAAAAAAGAAACGCACCUUUGCUACCUGAGCAAAGUUAACGCAAGCGAAAGAGCGCGAGAGGAAGAGAGAGAGAUAACUCUCAUACAGCUAGAGUUCUUCGAUGGCACAAAGCAAUAACUGCACCUGCAACUCAAAAGCAAUCGCCGAACAACGCCUAAAAAACAAGUUAUAUAGAUAUAUAUGUUAUUCAGAGAGAGGGAGA